UGCUUGUGCUCAGCUCCAGCUCACUGGCUGGCCACCGAGACCUCUGGACAGGAAACUGCACCACACUCUUCUCCCAGCAAGGGGGCUCCAGAGACUGCCCACCCAGGAAGUCUGGUGGCCUGGGGAUUUGGACAGUGCCUUGGUAAUGACCAGGGCUCCAGGAAGAGAUGUCCUUGUGGCUGGGGGCCCCUGUGCCUGACAUUCCUCCUGACUCUGCGGUGGAGCUGUGGAAGCCAGGCGCACAGGAUGCAAGCAGCCAGGCCCAGGGAGGCAGCAGCUGCAUCCUCAGAGAGGAAGCCAGGAUGCCCCACUCUGCCGGGGGUACUGCAGGGGUGGGGCUGGAGGCUGCAGAGCCCACAGCCCUGCUCACCAGGGCAGAGCCCCCUUCAGAACCCACAGAGAUCCGUCCACAAAAGCGGAAAAAGGGGCCAGCCCCCAAAAUGCUGGGGAACGAGCUAUGCAGCGUGUGUGGGGACAAGGCCUCGGGCUUCCACUAUAAUGUUCUGAGCUGCGAGGGCUGCAAGGGAUUCUUCCGCCGCAGCGUCAUCAAGGGAGCGCACUACAUCUGCCACAGUGGCGGCCACUGCCCCAUGGACACCUACAUGCGUCGCAAGUGCCAGGAGUGUCGGCUUCGCAAAUGCCGUCAGGCUGGCAUGCGGGAGGAGUGUGUCCUGUCAGAAGAACAGAUCCGCCUGAAGAAACUGAAGCGGCAAGAGGAGGAACAGGCUCAUGCCACAUCCUUGCCCCCCAGGGCUUCCUCACCCCCCCAAAUCCUGCCCCAGCUCAGCCCGGAGCAACUGGGCAUGAUCGAGAAGCUGGUCGCUGCCCAGCAACAGUGUAACCGGCGCUCCUUUUCUGACCGGCUUCGAGUCACGCCUUGGCCCAUGGCACCAGAUCCCCAUAGCCGGGAGGCCCGUCAGCAGCGCUUUGCCCACUUCACUGAGCUGGCCAUCGUGUCUGUGCAGGAGAUAGUUGACUUUGCUAAACAGCUACCCGGCUUCCUGCAGCUCAGCCGGGAGGACCAGAUUGCCCUGCUGAAGACCUCUGCGAUCGAGGUGAUGCUUCUGGAGACAUCUCGGAGGUACAACCCUGGGAGUGAGAGUAUCACCUUCCUCAAGGAUUUCAGUUAUAACCGGGAAGACUUUGCCAAAGCAGGCGCGGUGGCUCAUGCCUGUAAUCCCAGUACUUUGGGAGGCCGAGGCAGGCAGAUCACGAGGUCAAGAGAUCGAGACCAUCCUGGCCAACAAGCCAGAAUCUUGCUCUGUCGCCUAGGCUGGAGUGCAAGUAGAACAAUCUCGGCUCACUGCAACCUCCACCUCCCAGGUUCAAGCAAUUCGCCUGCUCAGCCUCCCGAGUAGCUGGGACUACAGGGCUGCAAGUGGAAUUCAUCAACCCCAUCUUCGAGUUCUCCAGGGCCAUGAAUGAGCUGCAACUCAAUGAUGCCGAGUUUGCCUUGCUCAUUGCUAUCAGCAUCUUCUCUGCAGACCGGCCCAACGUGCAGGACCAGCUCCAGGUAGAGAGGCUGCAGCACACAUAUGUGGAAGCCCUGCAUGCCUACGUCUCCAUCCACCAUCCCCAUGACCGACUGAUGUUCCCACGGAUGCUAAUGAAACUGGUGAGCCUCCGGACCCUGAGCAGCGUCCACUCAGAGCAAGUGUUUGCACUGCGUCUGCAGGACAAAAAGCUCCCACCGCUGCUCUCUGAGAUCUGGGAUGUGCACGAAUGACUGUUCUGUCCCCAUAUUUUCUGUUUUCUUGGCCGGAUGGCUGAGGCCUGGUGGCUGCCUCCUAGAAGUGGAACAGACUGAGAAGGGCAAACAUUCCUGGGAGCUGGGCAAGGAGAUCCUCCCGUGGCAUUAAAAGAGAGUCAAAGGGU